CCAACCAACGGAGCCACUGAGGGGUCCCUGAUUGAGAUGAGGAAACUGAGGCACCAAGGGAUUAAGUGAUUUGUCCAGAGCCACACAACGACAGAGCUGUGAUCAGAACUGAGCACUCUGGAUCCCAAGGCUUUUAUCUACCAUGUGAAGGUGGUCCAUUCUAUUUCUGGGAUAUUCUAAUUCAGGUAUCUUCAGCCUUCAACCUUGCAUCAGAGGUGCAUCAGA